rnacentral:rRNA from 1 species
CAGGGUUUGACAUGUAGUCGCACCACCCUGAAAAGGGUGUUCCCUCGGGACGACUACACAGGUGCUGCAUGGCUGUCGUCAGCUCGUGCCGUGAGAUGUUGGGUUAAGUCCCGCAACGAGCGCAACCCCUGUCCUCGGUUACUGGUGUCCGAGGAGACUGCCACGAUCAACGUGGAGGAAGGCGGGGACGACGUCAAGUCAGCACGGCCCUUACGCCUUGGGCGACACACACGCUACAAUGGUCGGUCCAAAGAGUUGCGAACCCGCGAGGGGGAGCCAAUCUCGUCAAAGCCGGCCUCAGUUCAGAUUGGAGGCUGAAACCUGCCUCCAUGAAGUCGGAGUUGCUAGUAACCGUGAGUCAGCACAUCACGGUGAAUACGUUCCC